rnacentral:rRNA from 1 species
GACGAACGCUGGCGGCGUGCUUAACACAUGCAAGUCGAACGGAAAGGCCCUGCUUUUGUGGGGUGCUCGAGUGGCGAACGGGUGAGUAACACGUGAGUAACCUGCCCUUGACUUUGGGAUAACUUCAGGAAACUGGGGCUAAUACCGGAUAGGAGCUCCUGCUGCAUGGAGGGGGUUGGAAAGUUUCGGCGGUUGGGGAUGGACUCGCGGCUUAUCAGCUUGUUGGUGGGGUAGUGGCUUACCAAGGCUUUGACGGGUCGCCGGCCUGAGAGGGUGACCGGCCACAUUGGGACUGAGGUACGGCCCAGACUCCUACGGGAGGCAGCAGUGGGGAAUAUUGCACAAUGGGCGGAAGCCUGAUGCAGCAACGCCGCGUGCGGGAUGACGGCCUUCGGGUUGUAAACCGCUUUCGCCUGUGACGAAGCGUGAGUGACGGUAAUGGGUAAAGAAGCACCGGCUAACUACGUG